AGGGUUGUGGCUCAGUGGUAGAGCGCUUGCCUAGCAUGUGUGAGGCACUGGGUUCUAUUCCCAGCACCACAU
rnacentral:tRNA from 1 species